rnacentral:rRNA from 1 species
GCCUAACACAUGCAAGUCGAGCGCCCCGCAAGGGGAGCGGCAGACGGGUGAGUAACGCGUGGGAAUCUACCAUUUGCUACGGAACAACAGUUGGAAACGACUGCUAAUACCGUAUGUGCCCUUUGGGGGAAAGAUUUAUCGGCAAAUGAUGAGCCCGCGUUGGAUUAGCUAGUUGGUGGGGUAAAGGCCUACCAAGGCGACGAUCCAUAGCUGGUCUGAGAGGAUGAUCAGCCACACUGGGACUGAGACACGGCCCAGACUCCUACGGGAGGCAGCAGUGGGGAAUAUUGGACAAUGGGCGCAAGCCUGAUCCAGCCAUGCCGCGUGAGUGAUGAAGGCCCUAGGGUUGUAAAGCUCUUUCACCGGUGAAGAUAAUGACGGUAACCGGAGAAGAAGCCCCGGCUAACUUCGUGCCAGCAGCCGCGGUAAUAC